AUACGGAGGAUGCGAGCGUUAUCCGGAUUUAUUGGGUUUAAAGGGAGCGUAGGUGGAUUGUUAAGUCAGUUGUGAAAGUUUGCGGCUCAACCGUAAAAUUGCAGUUGAUACUGGUUUCCUUGAGUACGGUAUAGGUGGGCGGAAUUCGUGGUGUAGCGGUGAAAUGCUUAGAUAUCACGAAGAACUCCGAUCGCGAAGGCAGCUCACCGGGCCGGAACUGACACUGAUGCUCGAAAGUGCGGGUAUCAAACAGGAUUAGAUACCCUGGUAGUCCGCACAGUAAACGAUGAAUACUCGCUGUUUGCGAUACACUGUAAGCGGCCAAGCGAAAGCGUUAAGUAUUCCACCUGGGGAGUACGCCGGCAACGGUGAAACUCAAAUGAUUGACGGGG
rnacentral:rRNA from 1 species